rnacentral:rRNA from 1 species
AUGGCUGGCGAGUCCAUCGUCUCCGGCGUCGUGGGGGGCAUGGUCGGCAGGGCGAUGUCCCUCCUCGCCGGGCAGCUCCUGGACCAGCAGCCGGAGCGGAGCGUCGAGGCCAAGCUGCGGCGGCUGAGGCGCCUGCUCGCCAGGGCCGAGAGCGCCGCGGAGGCCGCCGGGGCGAGGCGGAUCACGAGCCGCGCGCUGCUCUCCUGGCUCGCGGAGAUCGUCGACGGGGCGCGCCGGGGGCGCUACCUCCUCGACGCGUUCCCGGUUCCGAGCGGAGCAGGCGAUCAGGACGACGGCCAUGCUGGCAACAAGGUGGUGCCGCUGGCGCGCUCUUUCUCCAUGCCUAGCUCGUUCAACUCCGCUAAGCGCCUGCGCGUCGCGGCCAUGAAGCUGCUGCUCGGCGACGGCGACGGCAGAGCCGACGAGCUGGAUGGUGUCCUCGCGGACCUGGAAAGCGUCGCCAGCGGUCUCACAGAGUUCAUCGUGCUGCUGCAGAUGUGCCCGCCGGCGCUGCACCGGCCGCUUGCCACGAGCAUCUACGCGGACAGCCAGAUGUUUGUCCGGCACGUCGAGAGACGCCGCGUUUUCGAGUUCUUGCUGCAAGAUGACGAGGGCGAGCCGACGCUGGCAGAGCCAGGUGUCCUCCCUAUAAUCGGCUCCGCCGGCCUGGGGAAGACCACGCUCGUGCAGCACGUCUGCGAGGAGCCCGCGGUGCGCCGCCGCUUCUCGCUGGUCAUGCUGCUAGACUUCCAUUGCAUGAGCCUCAUGGCAGCCGGCGAGACGGCGCUCUUCCCACGCUCUCUGUUCACGCCAAACGCCACCAGCCUCUCCGCCGACGGCGAGCAGACGAGGCUCCUAGAGCGGAAGCUGCGCGGCGAGAGGUUUCUGGCCGUCUUCGACAACGUCAACCGGCGCAAAAGGCAGGUGGUCGACGCGAUCAUGCAAACCCUGCGGCGCGCCGGCAGGCGAGGGAGCAAGGUCGUCGUAACCAGCAGCGACGCCGGGCAUGUUGCGGGCCUUGGCACCGCGGAGCCGAUCGUUCUGCGUCCCCUGCCGCCGGAGGAGUACUGGUUCUUCUUCAGGGCGCACGCGUUCGGCGGCGCCGAGGCAGACCCGCGGCUGGCGGCGGCGGGCCAGGCCAUCGCCAAGAGGCUGGACGGCUCCUUCUUCGGCGGGAAGAUAGUGGGCGCGCUCCUGAGGUCCCGUCCGGACGCGCGGCUAUGGCGUAGCGUCCUGAGCAGCAGCUUCAGCAUCGCCGACGUGUGGUGCCUCGGCAGCGAAGGCUGCGUCGCCGCCGCGGCCGGCAGCCUCCUCCCGCGGCAUGUGACCAUGCGCUGCGUCACCGUCUCCGGCUCGCCGAUGAGAGGGCUCGUCGGAAUCCAAGAAACCUCUUUGGCUGUUCCUGCUCCUCCUUGUCCAGACGACGGCGGCAGCCGCAGCCCGGAGUUGCCUGUGCUGCUGUGCAAGUCUGUGUUCCCUGGCUACUGCCUGUACUACACUGCCCAUUGCACGAUCGACAGAGAGAUCAAUCAGUAA